UACGAAGGGGGCUAGCGUUGUUCGGAUUUACUGGGCGUAAAGCGCACGUAGGCGGAUCUUUAAGUCAGAGGUGAAAUCCCAAGGCUCAACCUUGGAACUGCCUUUGAUACUGGGGAUCUUGAGUCCGGGAGAGGUGAGUGGAACUGCGAGUGUAGAGGUGAAAUUCGUAGAUAUUCGCAAGAACACCAGUGGCGAAGGCGGCUCACUGGCCCGGUACUGACGCUGAGGCACGAAAGCGUGGGGAGCAAACAGGGAUUAAGAAACC
rnacentral:rRNA from 1 species